rnacentral:lncRNA from 1 species
GGGAUAUCCAGCCAGGGGAGAUAACCGAAACAGCUCCUCUCCGAUCAAGUGACAGACAGAGCCUGCCAGCUGAGAUCGUGUUUGUCAGCAAGCGUGGAAAUACCGCCUUUCUACGAAAUAGGACCAGGGCUGACCAGCUGAAGAGAAGAAGCCAGACUACUUAUGUUUUGCAAAGUGACAGAGAUUGGUCGCUAUUGUUUCUUCAGAUUUUAUUAUUAUCAUGCAACUAGACCUGUAUGCUGUUUUUGUGAUAUAUUUUAAACAGUUAUACCUGCCAUAUAUUGACAGUUUGUGAUAGAGUUGAAAGCGCAGGACUGGAUAGCACUCUUUCAAAGAAAAUGUUUCUUCAUCAUAUGUUGUGCAUUGAAUUGCAUUGAUCUUUGCCAAAAUAGAUUCAUAUGACCCAGGAUCAUGAAAUAACUUGCAACUGAAACUGUAUUUGUUGGAAACUAUUUGCUUAAGUAUUUAUGAUCAUAUUCAAAAGACACCUAGACCACGGCCUCUAACAUAAAUAUCAGAUAUGUUAUAUAAUGUUAUCAAUCCAUCAUGUAUGAGAUAUUGGCUAUGAUAUAAAAAGGCUUAGCUAAGAUUGUACAUGCUCCUUGGGCCAGGUUUUUGUUUUCAACCCUGUGAUAUAUAUUUUAUGUAUUAUGUAGGAGUUUCUAGAACCUUAUUUAUUCAUUUCGUUGUGGUAGAUACGCUGUCUGUAAAAAGGAGCAAGAGGUCCCUAUUUUACUUGAUUUUAUUUAUUUUGACUCCAGAGACUUUAGUUAACAUGAAACUUGCCUUGUAUGCAUGUAUUGUCAUUUUCUAGUCAUUUCUGGUCAUUAAUACAUGUCACUAGUGGCCAGUUUGUAAUAUGUUUGAAACAGCAGAAUUGGGUACCAAUCUGUCAGUGACAGAUUUUGUCAUUGAAUAUAUUAUAUAUGUCACUUUUAUUGCAGACAUAGAUACACAUGAUGCCAUUUAACAAUCUACAAUGCAUGCAAAUAUUUUUCAAAAGGAUAGAAAUAUUUUUAAAAAUACCCUCGCAAAUAUAUGGUUGGAAAGAAAUGUGAUAACGUUUUUAUGGAGUGAUUGUGUUUGAAUGCUGAUAACUUGUUUAUUAUAUAUUAUAUAUGGUGUACAAAACAAUAUGUAUGGGGUAACUUGUCCUUUCCUCUAGCUCCACAUAAUAUUUCAGGUUAAUUGUACACGUAGAACUGUAGAUAUUCUUCGGAAUGCAUUUAGAUCUCAUGACCUUCAAAUUUCAAGGUCAAGCACAUUUUUAUAAAUAGCUGUAAAAUAUUCUUAUUCAACUUUAUUGUCACUUUUUUGGGGUAGAAAGACCUGUCUUACCAUGACAAUGACUAUGUAUACUUAUUUUGCUUAUGUUUUACUCGUUUUCAGACAUUAUUCAUGAAAGCUGUGUUAAAGUUUUAAAAAUGAUCGAUACGGUGCUACGCUUACAGGGUCUCAUUUUCAUAUUGUAUAAUGUAAAUAUAUGACUAUUACCACCAAAAUGGAUAGACAAGAUACCAAUACAGAGAUAGAAUACUUACACAUACUUUUUUGAAGUGCAGAAA